rnacentral:rRNA from 1 species
AUUGAACGCUGGCGGCAGGCCUAACACAUGCAAGUCGAGCGAGCGGCGGACGGGUGAGUAAUGCCUGGGAAUUGCCCAGUCGAGGGGGAUAACAGUUGGAAACGACUGCUAAUAACGCAUACGCAUGGAUUGCACAGGUGGGAUUGGGUAGUGGGUGAGGUAAUGGCUCACCAAGGCGACGAUCCCUAGCUUGUCGGAGAGGAUGGUCAGACACAUUGGAACGGGGACACGGGCCAGAGCCCUUCGGGAGGCAGCAGUGGGGAAUAUUGCACAAGGGGGGAAACCCUGGUGCAGCCAUGCCGCGUGUGUGAAGAAGGCCUUCGGGUUGUAAAGCACGUUCAGCGAGGAGGCGUUACUCGCAGAAGAAGCACCGGCUAACUCCGUGCCAGCAGCCGCGGUAAUUC